rnacentral:rRNA from 1 species
GUUGUUGCAGUUAAAAAGCCCGUAGUUGAAUUUCGGGAUCAAUGUUUCGGUCAUGCCGUUGGUAUGUACUGAUAUUAUUGAUUUCUCACCUUCUAAAGAACCGUAAUGCCAUUAAUUUGGUGUCACGGGGAAUUAGGACUGUUACCUUGAAAAAAUUAGAGUGUUUAAAGCAGGCUUACGCUUGAAUACAUUAGCAUGGAAUAAUGAAAUAGGACAUCCGAUUCUAUUUUGUUGGUUUCUAGGAUCGAUGUAAUGAUUAAUAGGAAUAGUUGGGGGCAUUAGUAUUCAAUUGUCAGAGGUGAAAUUCUUGGAUUUAUUGAAGACUAACUACUGCGAAAGCAUUUGCCAAGGAUGUUUUCAUUAAUCAAGAACGAAAGUUAGGGGAUCGAAGACGAUCAGAUACCGUCGUAGUCUUAACCAUAAACUAUGCCGACUAGGGAUCGGAUGAUGUUAAUUUUUUAAUGACUCAUUCGGCGCCUUACGGGAAAC